rnacentral:rRNA from 1 species
UACAGAGGUCCCAAGCGUUGUUCGGAUUCACUGGGCGUAAAGGGUGCGUAGGCGGUCGGGUAAGUCUGAUGUGAAAUCUCACAGCUUAACUGUGAAACUGCAUUGGAUACUAUCCGGCUAGAGUACUGCAGGGGAGACUGGAAUUCCUGGUGUAGCGGUGAAAUGCGCAGAUAUCAGGAGGAACACCGGUGGCGAAGGCGGGUCUCUGGGCAGUAACUGACGCUGAGGAGCGAAAGCGUGGGGAGCGAACAGG